GACGAACGCUGGCGGCGUGCUUAAUACAUGCAAGUCGAACGGAAAGGCGCUGCUUUUGUGGGUUGCUCGUUUGGCGAACGCGUGUGUAACACGUGUGUAACCCCUCCUUGUCUUUGUGAUAACUUCAGGGAACUGGGGCUAAUAUCGGAUAGGAUCUCCUGCUCCAUGGGGUUGGUUGGAGAGUGUCGGCGGUUGGGGCUGGACUCGCGGCUUAUGAGCUUGAUGGUCAGGUAGGGGCUUACCAAGGCUUUGACGGGUAGCCGGCCUGAGAGGGUAAACGGGGACAUUGCGACUGCGGGAGGGAGCAGAAUGCUACGGGAGGCAGCAGUCGGAAGUAUUGCGCAAUAGGCGGAAGCCUGAUGCGGAAACGCCGCGAGCGUGAUAACGGCCUUCGGGUUGUAAACAGCUUUCGCCUGUGCCGAAGAGUGAGUGACGGUAAUGGGUCAAGAAGCAACGGCUAACUACGUG
rnacentral:rRNA from 1 species